GCUGGCGGCGUGCUUAACACAUGCAAGUCGAGUGCGCGCCUGUAGCAAUACAGGUGGCGCACGGCGCACGGGUGCGUAACACGUGGGUAAUCUGCCCUCUGAUGGGGAAUAACUCGCCGAAAGGCGAGCUAAUUCCGCAUAAUAUUCCGAGAACCUCGGUUUUUGGACUGAAAGGCGUAAGUUGUCGGAGGAGGAGCCCGCGCACGAUUAGCUAGUUGGUAGGGUAAUGGCCUACCAAGGCUUUGAUCGUUAGCUGGUCUGAGAGGAUGGCCAGCCACACUGGAACUGAGACACGGUCCAGACUCCUACGGGAGGCAGCAGUGGGGAAUCUUGCACAAUGGGCGAAAGCCUGAUGCAGCGACGCCGCGUGGGGGAUGAAGCUUCUCGGAGUGUAAACCCCUUUCGAUCCGGACGAAUGCCCGCAAGGGAUUGACGGUACGGAUAUAAGAAGCCCCGGCUAACUAC
rnacentral:rRNA from 1 species